AGGGUUUGAUCAUGGCUCAGGAUGAACGCUAGCGGCAGGCCUAAUACAUGCAAGUCGAACGGUGUAGCAAUACACAGUGGCGCACGGGUGCGUAACACGUAUGCAACCUACCUUACAUUGGGGGAUAGCCUUUCGAAAGGGAGAUUAAUACCGCAUAAGACAGUAAAUGGGCAUCCAUUAGCUGUUAAAGAUUUAUCGAUGUAAGCUGGGCAUGCGUCCAAUUAGUUAGUUGGGGAGGUAAUGGCUCACCAAGACGAUGAUUGGUAGGGGAACUGAGAGGUCAAUCCCCCACACUGGCACUGAGAUACGGGCCAGACUCCUACGGGAGGCAGCAGUAGGGAAUAUUGGGCAAUGGACGCAAGUCUGACCCAGCCAUGCCGCGUGCAGGAAGAAGGCGUUAUGCGUUGUAAACUGCUUUUAUAUAGGAAGAAACGACCCUUGCGAGGGGCAUUGACGGUACUAUAUGAAUAAGCACCGGCUAACUCCGUGCCAGCCGCCGCGGUAAUACA
rnacentral:rRNA from 1 species